rnacentral:rRNA from 1 species
UGCCUAAUACAUGCAAGUCGAGCGGACAGAUGGGAGCUUGCUCCCUGAUGUUAGCGGCGGACGGGUGAGUAACACGUGGGUAACCUGCCUGUAAGACUGGGAUAACUCCGGGAAACCGGGGCUAAUACCGGAUGCUUGUUUGAACCGCAUGGUUCAAACAUAAAAGGUGGCUUCGGCUACCACUUACAGAUGGACCCGCGGCGCAUUAGCUAGUUGGUGAGGUAACGGCUCACCAAGGCAACGAUGCGUAGCCGACCUGAGAGGGUGAUCGGCCACACUGGGACUGAGACACGGCCCAGACUCCUACGGGAGGCAGCAGUAGGGAAUCUUCCGCAAUGGACGAAAGUCUGACGGAGCAACGCCGCGUGAGUGAUGAAGGUUUUCGGAUCGUAAAGCUCUGUUGUUAGGGAAGAACAAGUA